rnacentral:tRNA from 1 species
GUCCGGAUGACUGAGUGGUUUAAGGUGUCUGACUUGAAAUCAGAAGUGGUACUAAAAACCCACCGUGAGUUCAAAUCUCACUCCGGCG